rnacentral:rRNA from 1 species
UACAGAGGUCUCAAGCGUUGUUCGGAUUCAUUGGGCGUAAAGGGUGCGUAGGUGGCGCUGUAAGUCGGGUGUGAAAUUUCGGAGCUUAACUCCGAAACUGCAUUCGAUACUGCGGUGCUUGAGGACUGGAGAGGAGACUGGAAUUUACGGUGUAGCGGUGAAAUGCGUAGAGAUCGGGAGGAAUACCAGUGGCGAAGGCGGCCUUCUGGACUGGACACUGA